CGCAUCGGCCGGGAAUCGAACCUGGGCCGCCCGCGUGGUAGGCGAGCAUUCUACCACUGAACCACCGAUGG
rnacentral:tRNA from 1 species